GCGGAGGAAAAGAAACCAACAGGGAUUGCCCUAGUAACGGCGAGUGAAGCGGCAACAGCUCAAAUUUGAAAUCUGGCGUCUUCGGCGUCCGAGUUGUAAUUUGCAGAGGGCGCUUUGGCAUUGGCAGCGGUCCAAGUUCCUUGGAACAGGACGUCACAGAGGGUGAGAAUCCCGUACGUGGUCGCUAGCCUUUACCGUGUAAAGCCCCUUCGACGAGUCGAGUUGUUUGGGAAUGCAGCUCUAAAUGGGAGGUAAAUUUCUUCUAAAGCUAAAUACUGGCCAGAGACCGAUAGCGCACAAGUAGAGUGAUCGAAAGAUGAAAAGCACUUUGGAAAGAGAGUUAAAAAGCACGUGAAAUUGUUGAAAGGGAAGCGCUUGCAGCCAGACUUGCCUGUAGUUGCUCAUCCGGGUUUCUACCCGGUGCACUCUUCUACGGGCAGGCCAGCAUCAGUUUGGGCGGUUGGAUAAAGGUCUCUGUCAUGUACCUCUCUUCGGGGAGAACUUAUAGGGGAGACGACAUGCAACCAGCCUGGACUGAGGUCCGCGCAUCUGCUAGGAUGCUGGCGUAAUGGCUGUAAGCGGCCCGUCUUGAAACACGGACCAAGGAGUCUAACAUCUAUGCGAGUGUUUGGGUGUCAAGCCCGAGCGCGUAAUGAAAGUGAACGGAGGUGGGAACCUUUCGGGGUGCACCAUCGACCGAUCCUGAUGUCUUCGGAUGGAUUUGAGUAAGAGCAUAGCUGUUGGGACCCGAAAGAUGGUGAACUAUGCUUGAAUAGGGUGAAGCCAGAGGAAACUCUGGUGGAGGCUCGCAGCGGUUCUGACGUGCAAAUCGAUCGUCAAA
rnacentral:sRNA from 1 species